GCAAAUGUUGUUCGGAAUCACUGGGCGUAAAGGGAGCGUAGGCGGGUUCUUAAGUUAGGUGUUUAAUCCCGGGGCCCAACCCCGGACCGGCACUUAAAACUGGGAAUCUUGAAUAGUGGAGAGGUCAGUGGAAUUGGAGGUGUAGCGGUGGAAUGCGUAGAGAUCUCCAAGAACACCAGUUGCGAAGGCGGCUGACUGGACACAUAUUGACGCUGAGGCUCGAAAGCAUGGGGAGCAAACAGG
rnacentral:rRNA from 1 species